CGGCAACUGAGACGCGCCCGUAGAAACAGGUUUGACGUCCUGGUCUUGAAAUCAUGGCCGACCAUCUUUUUAAAAGGUGCCCCCUGCAACCACUGUGAUGAUCACUGAUUUACUUCAUUAAGCGCUUGCUUGCAAAUGAGGGUCUGCGCGGAGCAGAUAAGGCACACCCAGCCAAGGACUGAGGGCACCAAAUCAACCAGGAAUAAAAAAGUGGCGAGAGGAGGAAAUUCUCCUAAAGGAGACAACAAGACAUACGGCGUUCAUGCCUCUCGCGUGAGCUAGACUGACUUACAUAAGAUCUAAAUAUGGCUCGGCCCAUUUAAGUCUGGCAGCACCCAAGGUCAGUGAGCAGGACGUGAAAUCUGAAGGGCUUUCUCGGCUCCUUGGGGAGGAGGCCGGUGCCGUGAGAUGGUCAGGGGAAGUCUCCGUGGUCCUCUUAUCUUCAGUGAGCAACGAACCCCACAGGCCCUCUAAGGCUAAUAUAUCUACAAAAUGACUCUUACCAGAGUGGCACCGCUGAUGACCAGCAGGUCAAACCACCCCAUACAAUGUCACAGAGCUGAUUGGAAGCCAGCAGGAUCUCUACAAUGUGACUGGCUCCUCACAGGGCCUCUUUGAUACAUCAGACUCUCUGGGGUUUCACACGCCUUCCACAAUCCUGGUGACCUCUUUUUUAUGACUGGCUGACUGCUGCGGGGGGAAGACGCCCGAUGAAGAGCAGCGCCAAGAGGCAACCGUGCGAUGGUCGCGGCCACGGGCUGCACGCGAAAUCAGGGCAGGGGCCACGGCGUUUGAAUCCCCGCUUCCCCCGCUUCUCCUUAGGGUUUUCCAUGGGGACAGGAAGUCACAGCACUUGAGGCAGAUGACUUCCUGUGGGACGGGCAUGCCUUGGGACUGUGCUGAUUACAGCAACAGCCUGAACAAACACGGACCAAUAAAUCACUCUCGCACAUUGUCAAAUCCUGCACACAGCAGUGCAGCACAUUUGUUAUUUUGUCGCGGAGGGUGUGUGUUUGUGCAUUCAUGUAUGUGUGCGCUCAUGUGCUUCUACAUAGAGGUGCAUGCAUGCAUAUGUAUUAGCACAUGCAAUGUAUGUAGUGUAUAUUUAUAGGCAUGCAGCCUCCCUCUCUGCUAAUGUAUUAGCAGGUCAUCUAUUUUAAAAAGGAAGCUUUGUCUGGUUUUGACAGCAAGCCAGUGUCCACUGAAUGAUUGUAUAGGACACUGAGGGCUAAGGGACAGCUCCCUGUUGGUCAUUCGAGACCUUCACGCACACUCAGCCAGUCUGAAGCAGUGCAGUGGUCAUUGCCAAAACUAAUGGCAGUGAAGCACGAGGGGCUCGCCUGACGGGAUGAGUGAUGGUGCAACCUGGCCAGGCCUUGGUCAAGGGACAUCUGUGCGCAGGACUUAGCUGGAGGUGGCUGAACGAAUGUGAGAGACAAACAACAUCACUCAGAGCACAGCCCGGGUCUCUUCUCUGGUGGUGGGUGUCGCUACAAUAAAAGCCAGUGAAAUACAGUCCUAUCAUGUAGGCUGGUGUGUAAGUCAUAUAUCACUUGGGUUUAGCAUUUCAUUCGCAGACACCGGUCUUCGUCAGGGUGAAAGUGAGAAGCAACUGUCAUUGCCGCCGUGCCCACUGUCAUCUCGCUAUCUCGGCAGACGGCGGCAGAGAAAAAAAAAAAAAAAAACCCCAGCAGAAUCAAAGGGACAAAUUACAUCCCCCGCAAACGUUUGGACUGAUGUCAAAGUGGGGCAGCGUGGUAAUUUCGGCAUUAUCUCCACAGUGUCCACGGUUUUCUCUGUCAAGGGCGAUGCACAGCAGGGCCAGCCCCUGAUGUGAACCUGCCUGCAUGGACAGCUCCAGAGGGACGGCUAAUCCCUUUAUCUGGUGCUCCUCUUAUCUCCCACAUGGUGAUGGCUGGGAGGAACUGGCUCCACUCAGGACUGCACGGACCCCUUGGGGCAGGCAGGGAUAUCCCAGCCAAACCCCUCUGAGUGAACACAAACAGGAAACAAGAGAGAGGAGCAAAGAGACGGAGGGGGGCACCUCAAAAACCCAGACAAAUCUAAAGGAAGAAAUGACCUAACUUGACAUGGGACACUGAGUCAGGAUCUGCCUCUUGCCAAAGUCUGAGAUCAUAGGAAGAGAGGGGAGAGAGAGCGAGAGGAGGGAGGAGCUGAGGGGGUUUUAAAUUUUGUUGUUGGGUUUCUUGGCACACUAGACAGAGGCCUAAUCGACGCCGGCUUGGCAGCUAGGCUGGGUGAAAGCUGGGGGCUGAGCAGAUCACGUUUUUGUCUCCAGGGUUGCUUUACUUUUGUUUCAUCUUAGCAGGCAAGAAGAAAAGCCAA